GACGAACGCUGGCGGUGUGCUUAACACAUGCAAGUCGAACGGUAAGGCCCUUUCGGGGGUACACGAGUGGCGAACGGGUGAGUAAUACGUGAGUAACCUGCCCUCAUCUCUGGGAUAACAGUCGGAACCGGUUGCUAAUACUGGUUAUGAGCUUGCCAGCCAUCUUGUGGGUUGGAAAGAUUUUUUUUGGUUGGGGAGGGACUCGCGGCCUAUCCGCUUGUUGGUGAGGGAGUGGCUCACCAGGGCUUCGACGGGUAGCCGGCCUGAGAGGGCGACCGGCCACAUUGGAACUGUGAGACGGCCCACACUCCUACGGGAGGCAGCAGGGGGGAAUGUUGGACAAUGGACGGAAGUCUGAUGCAGCAACGCCGCGUGCGGGAUGACGGCCUUCGGGUUGUAAACCGCUUUCAAUUGUGACGAAGCUUUUUUGUGACGGUAGCAGUAGAAGAAGCACCGGCUAACUACGUG
rnacentral:rRNA from 1 species